rnacentral:rRNA from 1 species
CACUGCCGAGAAAAGCCUCUAGAUAGAAAAUAGGUGCCCGUACCGCAAACCGACACAGGUAGUCAAGAUGAGAAUUCUAAGGUGAGCGAGCGAACUCUCGUUAAGGAACUCGGCAAAAUGACCCCGUAACUUCGGGAGAAGGGGUGCUCUUUAGGGUUAACGCCCAGAAGAGCCGCAGUGAAUAGGCCCAAGCGACUGUUUAUCAAAAACACAGGUCUCUGCUAAACCGUAAGGUGAUGUAUAGGGGCUGACGCCUGCCCGGUGCUGGAAGGUUAAGAGGAGUGGUUAGCUUCUGCGAAGCUACGAAUCGAAGCCCCAGUAAACGGCGGCCGUAACUAUAACGGUCCUAAGGUAGCGAAAUUCCUUGUCGGGUAAGUUCCGACCCGCACGAAAGGCGUAACGAUUUGGGCACUGUCUCAACGAGAGACUCGGUGAAAUCAUAGUACCUGUGAAGAUGCAGGUUACCCGCGACAGGACGGAAAGACCCCGUGGAGCUUUACUGUAGCCUGAUAUUGAAAUUCGGCACAGCUUGUACAGGAUAGGUAGGAGCCUUUGAAACGUGAGCGCUAGCUUACGUGGAGGCGCUGGUGGGAUACUACCCUAGCUGUGUUGGCUUUCUAACCCGCACCACUUAUCGUGGUGGGAGACAGUGUCAGGCGGGCAGUUUGACUGGGGCGGUCGCCU